AGGAGAGUUCCUUUAUCGGUAAGAAGGGUCGAGCUGUAAACUCGAUAGCGUUGCUUGUAAGAGUUCGAAUCUCUUGUCUCCUA
rnacentral:tRNA from 1 species